GUUGGCAAAGUUAGCACAGUUGGCAUGCUAGCUGCCAACCGCCAUUAGAACGCAAAGCUGAAGAAGUUAGCAUGCUAGCACAGUUAGCAUGCUAGCUGCCAACCGCCAUUAAAACCCAAAGCUGAAGAAGUUAGCAUGCUAGCACAGUUAGCAUGCUAGCUGCCAACCGCCAUUAAAA